rnacentral:tRNA from 1 species
CAGAAUUUAUUCUUAUUAAGAUUUUUUAUUUACAAUGAAAAGAUUUUUUCUGA